rnacentral:rRNA from 1 species
AACGAACGCUGGCGGCAUGCCUAACACAUGCAAGUCGAACGAUGGCUUCGGCCAUAGUGGCGCACGGGUGAGUAACACGUGGGAACCUGCCUUUCGGUUCGGAAUAACGUUUGGAAACGGACGCUAACACCGGAUACGCCCUUUUGGGGAAAGUUUACGCCGAGAGAGGGGCCCGCGUCGGAUUAGGUAGUUGGUGGGGUAACGGCCUACCAAGCCGACGAUCCGUAGCUGGUCUGAGAGGAUGAUCAGCCACACUGGGACUGAGACACGGCCCAGACUCCUACGGGAGGCAGCAGUGGGGAAUAUUGGACAAUGGGCGGAAGCCUGAUCCAGCCAUGCCGCGUGAGUGAUGAAGGCCUUCGGGUUGUAAAGCUCUUUCGCACGCGACGAUGAUGACGGUAGCGUGAGAAGAAGCCCCGGCUAACUACGUGCCAGCCGCCGCCGUAA